UGGAUCCAGACUUUGAUCCUGGCUCAGGACGAACGCUGGCGGCGUGCUUAACACAUGCAAGUCGAACGGAGCACCCUUGAAAGAGUUUUCGGACAAUGGAUAGGAAUGCUUAGUGGCGGACUGGUGAGUAACGCGUGAGGAACCUGCCUUCCAGAGGGGGACAACAGUUGGAAACGACUGCUAAUACCGCAUGACAUAUUCUAAUCGCAUGGUUGGAAUAUCAAAGAUUUAUCGCUGGAAGAUGGCCUCGCGUCUGAUUAGAUAGUAGGCGGGGUAACGGCCCACCUAGUCGACGAUCAGUAGCCGGACUGAGAGGUUGACCGGCCACAUUGGGACUGAGAUACGGCCCAGACUCCUACGGGAGGCAGCAGUGGGGAAUAUUGGGCAAUGGGCGCAAGCCUGACCCAGCAACGCCGCGUGAAGGAAGAAGGCUUUCGGGUUGCAAACUUCUUUUAAGAGGGAAGAGAAGAAGACGGUACCUCUUGAAUAAGCCACGGCUAACUACGUGCCAGCAGCCGCGGUAAUACGUAGGUGGCAAGCGUUGUCCGGAUUUACUGGGUGUAAAGGGCGUGCAGCCGGGAAGACAAGUCAGAUGUGAAAUCCCGCGGCUCAACCGCGGAACUGCAUUUGAAACUGUUUUUCUUGAGUACCGGAGAGGUCAUCGGAAUUCCUUGUGUAGCGGUGAAAUGCGUAGAUAUAAGGAAGAACACCAGUGGCGAAGGCGGAUGACUGGACGGCAACUGACGGUGAGGCGCGAAAGCGUGGGGAGCAAACAGGAUUAGAUACCCUGGUAGUCCACGCUGUAAACGAUCGAUACUAGGUGUGCGGGGACUGACCCCCUGCGUGCCGCAGUUAACACAAUAAGUAUCGCACCUGGGGAGUACGAUCGCAAGGUUGCAACUCAAAGGAAUUGACGGA
rnacentral:rRNA from 1 species